UCUGAACCACGUCAGAGUCCCAGCUCCAGUCACCGCUCACAAUUGCUCGUGAGUUCUUAGCCUUGAUGGAAAAAGGUUUGCAAUCAGGCAGACAUGGAAGGAAGUCUACCAUGCUUAUGACCACUGUCUACCUUAGGAAGAAGUGAUGGUGUCUUUGGAGGCAGAAAAUAUUAUGGUUUGUUUUUUAUUAUUAUUAUUUUUUUUUUUUUUAGCUUGCAUGUACCACACAUAUAGAGAAAAGAGGUUGACUAUCUUACUAUUUAAAUUUUUAAAAUUUUUUUUCUUUUGUUUUGGUUUGGUUUUGGUUUUGGUUUUUCAAGACAGGGUUUCUCUGUAUAGCCCUGGUUGUCCUGGGACUCACUUUGUAGACCAGGCUGGCCUGGAACUCAGAAAUCUGCCUGCUUCUGCCUCCCGAGUGCUGGGAUUAAAGGCGAGCACCACCACGCCUGGCAACUAUUUAAUUUUUUUAACUAUUAUAAAAUUUUAUACAUGUAGUGUAAAGUUAUAACAUAUAUGUGGGGUGAUCGGUCAUAAUAAUAAAAUGAACAACAAUGGGCUGUUGCUACCCAGUUUAAGAUAUAGAAGAAUACCUGUGGGGGCUGGUAAGAUGACUCAGCGGUUAAGAGCACUGACUGUGAAAGACUCCGGGAGGAGCCCCUCACUCAGGCCUCAGGACAAUAGCGGACACCCAAGAACUCACGACAGACCGAGCUUGUUGCAAACCACAUGAGGCUUUAUUCGGGGAAAGCCAGAGCUCUGGGGACGACUCAUAUCCCACGCAGGGGUAGAGGAGUCGUCCUCGAGGGGAAAGAGUUCCCAGUUUUUAUAGGCCCUCAGGGGGGAAAGGAGAAGGGGGAGAUUAGGGGAUUUCCAGAUCUAAACAAUGUCUAUUCUCAAGAAAUGGGUAUGGGAGGGGUACAAGGAAAGAGUCUAAUGAAGAUACAGCAAUGGGCACACACCUGGUCAGAACAUUGGCAGACAUACAGGUUCAAGGAGUGGCCAGAGCACUGUGCACCUCUAUUUUUCUAAAUCAGUGAAGCUAGUUCUGUUAACACUAACGUCUAUCUUGCCAAUUUCAGGGCUUCUGUGUCCUUUUACAUUCUGCCAGGAUCUUUCAACUGCUCUUCUGAAGAUCCUGAGUUCAAAUCCCAGCAACCACAUGGUGGCUCACAACCACCCGUAAUGAGAUCAGACACCUUAAAUAAAUCUUUAAAAAAAACAAAGAAUACCUCCAUCAUUGAGAUUCCAGAAGCCCUAUUCAAACCUGUUAUCUUCUUCCAGCAGCCUGCAAUGCUAGCCCC
rnacentral:lncRNA from 1 species